UGGCGGCUGUAGCGCGGUGGUCCCACCUGACCCCAUGCCGAACUCAGAAGUGAAACGCCGUAGCGCCGAUGGUAGUGUGGGGGCCUCCCCAUGCGAGAGUAGGGAACUGCCAGGCA
rnacentral:rRNA from 1 species